UACGUAGGGGGCAAGCGUUGUCCGGAAUCAUUGGGCGUAAAGAGCGUGUAGGCGGCCCGAUAAGUCCGCUGUGAAAGUCGGGGGCUCAACCCUCGGAUGCCGGUGGAUACUGUCGGGCUAGAGUGCGGAAGAGGCGAGUGGAAUUCCUGGUGUAGCGGUGAAAUGCGCAGAUAUCAGGAGGAACACCCGUGGCGAAAGCGGCUCUCUGGAACGGUACUGACGCUGAGACGCGAAAGCGUGGGGAGCGAACAGG
rnacentral:rRNA from 1 species